GAACCUGCGGAAGAUCAUUA
rnacentral:rRNA from 1 species